rnacentral:pre_miRNA from 15 species
GGCGCGUCGCCCCGCUCAGUCCGCCAGAGCGCGGAUGUCUCCGAAAUUCGGCUCUGGGUCUGUGGGGUGCGAAAUGCAA